GACAGAGGGUGCGAACGUUGCUCGGAAUUACUGGGCGUAAAGCGCGUGUAGGCGGACUGGUAAGUCGGACGUGAAAUCCCUGGGCUCAACCCAGGAACUGCAUCCGAAACUAUCAGUCUGGAGUGGUGGAGAGGAAAGCAGAAUUCCUGGUGUAGAGGUGAAAUUCGUAGAUAUCAGGAGGAACACCGGUGGCGAAGGCGGCUUUCUGGACGACAACUGACGCUGAGACGCGAAAGCGUGGGGAGCAAACAGG
rnacentral:rRNA from 1 species